UUGAGAAGGGCUGUCCCUAGUACGAGAGGACCGGGACGGACGAACCUCUGGUGUGCCAGUUGUUCUGCCAAGGGCAUGGCUGGUUGGCUACGUUCGGGAGGGAUAACCGCUGAAAGCAUCUAAGCGGGAAGCCUGCUUCGAGAUGAGGACUCCCACCCACUUGAUGGGGUAAGGCUCCCAGUAGACGACUGGGUUGAUAGGCCGGAUCUGGAAGCACAGUAAUGUGUGGAGGUGACCGGUACUAAUAGGCCGAGGGCUUGUCCUC
rnacentral:rRNA from 1 species